CGGCCGCGCCCCCGCGUCACGUACGGGCCCAUCCGGGUCCCGGCGGGAGGAGCCGCCCGGGCGGCACCGGCGGCGGCACCGGGGCGAUCCCUCAGCGCCGAGCGGCUCCGGGGAAACGCCCGGCGGUGUCAGCGGGGUUUACAUGCGCUCACAACAACAAAAUUUGAAACAAAACCAGGAUGAAAGCAAGAGGAGAGAACAUUCUGAGGAGAGCAGGCCAUGAGCAGCACACCUCUGAUGCCAGGGGGACAGCCUGAGGGAUCAUUCCCAUGGAAAAGGCAGCAGCUGAUCUUCUAAGGAAAAAUAAAUAAAGUUAUGUUGGAGUUUUCCUGGUAA